rnacentral:lncRNA from 1 species
UAUAUUGCUUGCGAAAUUAAUUAUUUUCCCACGGACCAUAAUAAUUAGACAGGGGUGCAAAAGUUUUUGUUUGUGAUUGCAAUCUCCACUCAGGAGUUGCUUCUGCAGUGGAAAUCGGGUGGUUUCCUUCAACAUACACCUCUCGCCUAUUAUUAGUUUCUGGUGAUAUUUCAUGUGUUUAUGAUAUCUAUUUAACAGUUUAGUUAGCAUCUGUCAUUACCAUCAAUAUACUGUGUGUGAAAUUAAUUAUUUUCCCAUGUACCAUAAUGAUUAGACGGGUGCAAAAGUUUUUGUUAGUGAUUGAGAUCUCCACUCAGGAGUUGCUUCUGCAGUGGGAAUCGGGUGGUUUCCUUCAACAUAUACCUCUCGCCUAUUAUUAAUUUCUGGUGAUAUAUCAUGUGAUUACAAUAUCUAUUUAACAGUUUAGUUUAGCUUCUGGCAGUACCAUCACAUCAUGUCUUUUGAUGAUUUCUUACUGUCAUGUUCCAUAUAUAUUACGGUAUUGAUCUAGUCAUUUUGUGUUUGGCUUGAACUA